AUGGCAAAUUAUUGGAAUGCACGACACCAGGAUGUCAUGCAGGGCUAUUGGGCGACAGCUUGACAUUCACCACACCGUCAUAAGUCGACUUACUUCCAUGGCCUGCUAUGAGCCCGGAUCUGAACCCAUUGGAGCCUGUCUGGGGCAUUCUGGGA